UGUUUGAUGUUCUAACGUGGACCCGUGAUCCGGGUUGCGGACAGUGUCUGGUGGGUAGUUUGACUGGGGCGGUCUCCUCCUAAAGAGUAACGGAGGAGCACGAAGGUUGGCUAAUCCUGGUCGGACAUCAGGAGGUUAGUGCAAUGGCAUAAGCCAGCUUGACUGCGAGCGUGACGGCGCGAGCAGGUGCGAAAGCAGGUCAUAGUGAUCCGGUGGUUCUGAAUGGAAGGGCCAUCGCUCAACGGAUAAAAGGUACUCCGGGGAUAACAGGCUGAUACCGCCCAAGAGUUCAUAUCGACGGCGGUGUUUGGCACCUCGAUGUCGGCUCAUCACAUCCUGGGGCUGAAGUAGGUCCCAAGGGUAUGGCUGUUCGCCAUUUAAAGUGGUACGCGAGCUGGGUUUAGAACGUCGUGAGACAGUUCGGUCCCUAUCUGCCGUGGGCGCUGGAGAACUGAGGGGGGCUGCUCCUAGUACGAGAGGACCGGAGUGGACGCAUCACUGGUGUUCGGGUUGUCAUGCCAAUGGCACUGCCCGGUAGCUAAAUGCGGAAGAGAUAAGUGCUGAAAGCAUCUAAGCACGAAACUUGCCCCGAGAUGAGUUCUCCCUGACCCUUUAAGGGUCCUGAAGGAACGUUGAAGACGACGACGUUGAUAGGCCGGGUGUGUAAGCGCAGCGAUGCGUUGAGCUAACCGGUACUAAUGAA
rnacentral:rRNA from 1 species